rfam:Otolemur garnettii contig156173, whole genome shotgun sequence.
GCGCCUGUGGCUCAAGGGAGUAGGGCGCUGGCCCCAUAAGCCAGAGGUGGUGGGUUCAAACCCAACCUUGGCCA